GACAGAGGUCACAAGCGUUAGGCGGAAUCACUGGGCUUAAAGCGUGUGUAGGUGGAUGUCUAAGUACCUUGUGAAAUCCCACGGCUCACCCGUGGAGCUGCUUGGUAUACUGGAUGUCUUGAGCUAUCUAGGGGCAGCUGGAACAAACGGUGGAGCGGUGAAAUGCGUAGAUAUCGUUCGGAACGCCAAUGGUGAAAACAGGCUGCUGGGGAUACGCUGACACUGAGACACGAAAGCCAGGGGAGCAAACGGGAUUAGAUACCCGUGUAGU
rnacentral:rRNA from 1 species